GUCCGUCGUGAAGAGGGAAACAACCCAGACCGCCAGCUAAGGUCCCAAAGUCAUGGUUAAGUGGGAAACGAUGUGGGAAGGCCCAGACAGCCAGGAUGUUGGCUUAGAAGCAGCCAUCAUUUAAAGAAAGCGUAAUAGCUCACUGGUCGAGUCGGCCUGCGCGGAAGAUGUAACGGGGCUAAACCAUGCACCGAAGCUGCGGCAGCGACGCUUAUGCGUUGUUGGGUAGGGGAGCGUUCUGUAAGCCUGUGAAGGUGUGCUGUGAGGCAUGCUGGAGGUAUCAGAAGUGCGAAUGCUGACAUAAGUAACGAUAAAGCGGGUGAAAAGCCCGCUCGCCGGAAGACCAAGGGUUCCUGUCCAACGUUAAUCGGGGCAGGGUGAGUCGACCCCUAAGGCGAGGCCGAAAGGCGUAGUCGAUGGGAAACAGGUUAAUAUUCCUGUACUUGGUGUUACUGCGAAGGGGGGACGGAGAAGGCUAUGUUGGCCGGGCGACGGUUGUCCCGGUUUAAGCGUGUAGGCUGGUUUUCCAGGCAAAUCCGGAAAAUCAAGGCUGAGGCGUGAUGACGAGGCACUACGGUGCUGAAGCAACAAAUGCCCUGCUUCCAGGAAAAGCCUCUAAGCAUCAGGUAACAUCAAAUCGUACCCCAAACCGACACAGGUGGUCAGGUAGAGAAUACCAAGGCGCUUGAGAGAACUCGGGUGAAGGAACUAGGCAAAAUGGUGCCGUAACUUCGGGAGAAGGCACGCUGAUAUGUAGGUGAAGUCCCUCGCGGAUGGAGCUGAAAUCAGUCGAAGAUACCAGCUGGCUGCAACUGUUUAUUAAAAACACAGCACUGUGCAAACACGAAAGUGGACGUAUACGGUGUGACGCCUGCCCGGUGCCGGAAGGUUAAUUGAUGGGGUCAGCGCAAGCGAAGCUCUUGAUCGAAGCCCCGGUAAACGGCGGCCGUAACUAUAACGGUCCUAAGGUAGCGAAAUUCCUUGUCGGGUAAGUUCCGACCUGCACGAAUGGCGUAAUGAUGGCCAGGCUGUCUCCACCCGAGACUCAGUGAAAUUGAACUCGCUGUGAAGAUGCAGUGUACCCGCGGCAAGACGGAAAGACCCCGUGAACCUUUACUAUAGCUUGACACUGAACAUUGAGCCUUGAUG
rnacentral:rRNA from 1 species